GGUUAAGCGACUAAGCGUACACGGUGGAUGCCCUGGCAGUCAGAGGCGAUGAAGGACGUGCUAAUCUGCGAUAAGCGUCGGUGAGGUGAUAUGAACCGUUAUAACCGGCGAUUUCCGAAUGGGGAAACCCAGUGUGUUUCGACACACUAUCAUUAACUGAAUCCAUAGGUUAAUGAGGCGAACCGGGGGAACUGAAACAUCUAAGUACCCCGAGGAAAAGAAAUCAACCGAGAUUCCCCCAGUAGCGGCGAGCGAACGGGGAGGAGCCCAGAGCCUGAAUCAGUGUGUGUGUUAGUGGAAGCGUCUGGAAAGGCGUGCGAUACAGGGUGACAGCCCCGUACACAAAAAUGCACAUAUUGUGAGCUCGAUGAGUAGGGCGGGACACGUGGUAUCCUGUCUGAAUAUGGGGGGACCAUCCUCCAAGGCUAAAUACUCCUGACUGACCGAUAGUGAACCAGUACCGUGAGGGAAAGGCGAAAAGAACCCCGGCGAGGGGAGUGAAAAAGAACCUGAAACCGUGUACGUACAAGCAGUGGGAGCCUCUUAAUGGGGUGACUGCGUACCUUUUGUAUAAUGGGUCAGCGACUUAUAUUCUGUAGCAAGGUUAACCGAAUAGGGGAGCCGAAGGGAAACCGAGUCUUAACUGGGCGUUAAGUUGCAGGGUAUAGACCCGAAACCCGGUGAUCUAGCCAUGGGCAGGUUGAAGGUUGGGUAACACUAACUGGAGGACCGAACCGACUAAUGUUGAAAAAUUAGCGGAUGACUUGUGGCUGGGGGUGAAAGGCCAAUCAAACCGGGAGAUAGCUGGUUCUCCCCGAAAGCUAUUUAGGUAGCGCCUCGUGAAUUCAUCUCCGGGGGUAGAGCACUGUUUCGGCAAGGGGGUCAUCCCGACUUACCAACCCGAUGCAAACUGCGAAUACCGGAGAAUGUUAUCACGGGAGACACACGGCGGGUGCUAACGUCCGUCGUGAAGAGGGAAACAACCCAGACCGCCAGCUAAGGUCCCAAAGUCAUGGUUAAGUGGGAAACGAUGUGGGAAGGCCCAGACAGCCAGGAUGUUGGCUUAGAAGCAGCCAUCAUUUAAAGAAAGCGUAAUAGCUCACUGGUCGAGUCGGCCUGCGCGGAAGAUGUAACGGGGCUAAACCAUGCACCGAAGCUGCGGCAGCGACACUAUGUGUUGUUGGGUAGGGGAGCGUUCUGUAAGCCUGUGAAGGUGGCCUGUGAGGGUUGCUGGAGGUAUCAGAAGUGCGAAUGCUGACAUAAGUAACGAUAAAGCGGGUGAAAAGCCCGCUCGCCGGAAGACCAAGGGUUCCUGUCCAACGUUAAUCGGGGCAGGGUGAGUCGACCCCUAAGGCGAGGCCGAAAGGCGUAGUCGAUGGGAAACAGGUUAAUAUUCCUGUACUUGGUGUUACUGCGAAGGGGGGACGGAGAAGGCUAUGUUGGCCGGGCGACGGUUGUCCCGGUUUAAG
rnacentral:rRNA from 1 species